rnacentral:tRNA from 1 species
GCGAUGGUAGCUCAGGGGAUAGAGCAACUGCCUUCUAAGCAGUGGGUCGAAGGUUCGAUUCCUUCUCGUCGCA